ACAGGAUAAUUUUUUUAAAAAUCAGAUUGCAGUGAAGAUGCAGAAAGAAAACAUGGAGAGAGAGAGAGAGGGAUGACUUGCAACAAAGGUCCACUAUCAGAAUACAACAGUGGAUGGUGAAUUUAUAUGAUAUACAUCAUAAUAUUACACCAACUGUUAUCUGUAUCACUGUCCUGUUAAACCAGGGUUAUCAUAUUAAAAUAUGAUAUAGGAAAAAACAGACAUGCUCGUUGCCAUGCAACAUCUUAAAAUGAUUAGCAAUCAUACAACACGCUGUAUUUCUGCUAAUCCGUGCAAGAUUACAAACCCAAGUCACAUGCCUCCAUUUAUAAAAACUCACAGGCAGCUGCCAUGGCUAAGCAUGCAGGGAUGGGGAUGGCAGGGUUUAUAUUUGUAGUCAACAUGUGAUUCUCGUGGCCUAUUAAACAUCAGAUGAUGGUGGAGGCGUGAGCGGAUGUAUCUGACACAGCGGAGGCCUUUGGCUCCCUCAGCCAGGCCACUGUGAAUCACGUCGUCUGCUCGAAAUGUAAAUGUAAAAUGACUCAGUGUGACUGCCUUCCAGAGCAACGCCUGACUCUCACCAUCCCUCGCCACAGCUGCGACCAUAAUGUUUACAUUAUGAUGAAUGAAUAUACAAUGACGAAUAUACUGUAUACAUAUGGGGUGAUAUGUAUAGUCUACUUUCUAUUAAAUGGCUCGCAGACUCCUGUGCGCUGACUGUCACCCUGCUGUUGAGCUAUCAUUUUUACCAGUGCUAAAAAUUUCUGUUUACAUUUUACUUGGCAAGCAAUCCAAAAAAACUGAAACACUGUUUUCAGUGUUCUAAUUUAUUCAGAGUUGAACAUACAGUAUCCCUGACGGAAGCCGAAAGAGAGAUUAUUUCCAUUCUGCACUGAAAUUCUGUACCAAUUGUGAGGAUCUUGCAAAAUAUGAAGAUAUGUAUAGCUACAUGGAAUUGGCACAAAGCUCAUAUUAUUAUUUCACUAUCUAGUUUUCACCUCGUGGAUCCAGAAUUGUCAUCACACCGGCCUGCUGUUACUAUCGCUAUUUGGCCACAAACUCGCUGUGGAGGUUUGGUCAUCUCUGCAGGCGUCGAGGUGCCAGCUUGGCCCUGCAGAGCCUCUCUCUGAGCUCCUGGAACAUUCGAGCGAAGGCCCAGAGGAGGAGGAGGAGGCGGUGUCCACAGUGCGUCGCUAUGAACAGCCGGCCUGUCUGCCCCUUGGCACGAAGAACACCCAAAAAAAAUAAUGUAGCGAGUCGGUGGGACUACAUUAAGGAGAGCAAGCUUGUGCCAAGGCCAGAGGGGGUUGUGUGUUUGUGUGUGUGUGUGCCAGCUGAAGCUGCCGCUGCUGUCUCGACGGCUGCUUUAUUUUGGCUCCAGUUGCUAUAGCGACCCUGUGGGACUUUCAGUGUGUCUGAACCAGUGAUCCGAUCGAUGCUAACCAACACCAGCAGCAGAGGUGUUUGAAUUUAUCUGGUGAAAUGGUGUUUCCACACUGGCAGUCGCCACACUUCAAGGACUUCCACUGGCUAACUAUAGACUCCCUCGAUGUCAUAUCCUCUCUGGAGAGCUGAACUCCACUUCUUCUAUUUAUGGUCCAAAUCAUUGUCAGAGGAUGAUGGAUGACACUCCCUGAGCGUGAACUGGAAACUGUUCUGUGUGUUGGAAAAUACUCAAGAUUGGGAGGGGGAAAAAAUCAUUAAACAAAACCAAUUCUGUGACCUUAAAGAAUGUGUUUUCUGGUGUGGGCUUGGCUCGAAACAUUGUUUUCCUUCAAAAAACUGUAAAUGUGUUGGCUAUGUUUAUAAACAGAGAUUUAUUUCUAAAGCUUAAAGGGAACUGUUGAACACAUCUGGAAAAACAAUCAUUUGUUUUCAUGCCGGUAGUUGGAUGAGAAGAUUGAUGCCACUCAUUUCUGUACCCUAAUAAAUAUGGAGCUAAAGUUAACAGCCAGUUAGCUUAGCGUAGCAUAAAUACUGUAAACGGGACAACAGCUAGCUUCUGCACAGCAAAACAACAACUUGUUUUUACACUUCAGCUUUUGUAAGGAUAAAACAAGGAACACCGUGUAAAUUUGAAAGCUUUAGAGGCAGAUUGUGUUGUUUUUGGACAGACUAACAACUAGCUGUUCCCCCCGUUUUGAGUUUUUGUGCUAAGCUAAGCUAGCUGGCUGCUAACUUUAUAUUUAGUAAGAAGUCUCUGUGUAGAAACUUGACCACACUAGAGAAAACCAGACUAGAAUAAAUGUGUCCAUGUGGAUAAAACCAGUGCUAUUUAUAAUAUGAAUCCUAUUAUGUAGGGCAGGAUGGAUGAUAGUGACAGUGACAGUAAUUCAUGUGUAAGUGAACUAAAUAUUCUGCAUUCUUUGCUCAUGAGUAUCUGUAAUGCAUGCAUACAUACAGUACAUCCGUGAGUAGUAUGAGUACUAUCCUGAGUACUAUUAGCCCCCGUGCUGACACAGGCGCUGGGGAAAACAGGAAAUGGAGCAUGGUGUGAGGUCAGCACACCACUGACUGUCCAACCAUGGAGCAGCUAAGCCCAAGUGUACAUCACACCAGUGUUUCCCCCUGAAUGGUUAUGUCCUGCAGCUGCUGUGGAGACCCUGUGAUGCUGCCUUAAAGCAUUCAUUAAAAGGUGCUUAAUUCCAUAUAUCUAAAGCGAUGAAUAAACAGGAGAAAGUAAAUGUACAUUUUAAGCUACAUAUCAAAAGUACAGUUUGACAUUUUCAGGAAUAUAACAGUAGAACACUUAAGUCUUGUUAAAAACUGCUGUGCAAAAAUUAUUAAUUGAAGAUUUAGCAAACCUCCUAUAUUUAAGCUACACUAAGCUAAUCAUCUGAGGGGUCUAUAGAAUCAUAUGUGAUGGACAGGUGUGAGAGUGGUAUUGAUCUUCUAAUGUAACAAUUGAAUGCAAGAAGUGUAUUAUCCCAAAAUGUCACAUAACAAAUUGAACAAUUAGGAUAUAAGGUGCUCCAAUCCUGCUAACGUAAGCUAAGAUACAGCUUCAGCUACAGCUGUUGGUUAUAGCUUCACAUUUAUAGUGCAGACAUGAAAGUGCUAUCAGUCAUCUCAUGUAACACCAUAUUUCUCAAAUGUGUUAGUUUAGCAUAAAUACAGCAUAGAUGUUUUUACUUUUUGUGUUUGAAUUUAAUUAUUUUGCACAUUUUAAAGGUUCUGGUUGGUUCAAAGCGCUCACUUACUGCUAUUUAGGAGACAGUUUUGAUUUCGUUAUAGUCCAGAAUGUGCAUUAAAGCAAAUCUACUCAGUCAUAAUCACGAGGGAUGGAAUGUUCUGGUCCACAGCCUCAGUUUGAAACAAGCAGGAGGCAGACAAGAUGGUGUGUUUCUUACAUAAAAAUCUUCACUAUCUAUUCAGAGCUCUCACUGCUAAUUAAGCACAGUGAGUCAGUGAGGCUCAGGAGAAAGGGCAUCAAACAAACACAAACUGUGGUGCUUUGUGAAUGAAUCAUUCUCAACAUGGACUGAAUGCUGAGUCAUGUUAAAAGACAGAAGGGUUUUUGUGUGUGUGUUAGUCACUUUUAAUUCACUCUAUGCAAACACAGUAGCAGCACUCAGGCAAAAGGAACCAGCACAAUUUUAGUAGUAUCUGUUGAUGCAGUCAAAUGACUUGUUAGCUAACACUAGUAGUACAAGUAGCUGCUUUAGUAGUUGUAGUAGUAGGUGUUGUUAUGCAAGCUAUUUCACUAGCAAGGGUAUCAGUCAGAGAGGUAACAGUCAUAAAGGAAGUGUCACCUGGCUGGUUCUCAAUAGGACAUCCAGUUUUUCAUGUUAUCUGGGUCCUGGUUGAUCUCGGUUGACCUCGGUUUUUAGAUAUCUGAUUCAGAUGGCGUGUUCCUUCAGGUACUGGUAAGACAGAACGGACAGUUUGAGCAUCAGUCCAUUCAUCUAAAGGCUUAUCAGAUGCCGAAACACAACACAGAGGUAUGCAAUACUACAAGGAAAGACUUAGUACUGGAAGUUGUACAUAAGAUUAUCACAUCAACAUGUUCAUAUGUAUAAUCUACCAGGAAUGUGCACAAACUAGAUUGGCCAUUGCAGCUCUUCACUGGAUGGCAUUACAUUGUAAUGGGGCAAAAGCUGAACCAGAGCUUUUGCCUCCUGUGUUUCAUGAGUGUAGUGUAGUUAGUUGAAUUAAAUGGUGUAAGUAGGUAAGUAGAGUUUAUUUAUAAAGCAUCUUCCAUAGACACAAAGUGGCUGACACGAAGCUAAGGCUAGCUUUAUUCACCUUAGCUGGGCAGCACAAAAAAGGACUGUGCUUACAGGGAUCCUGUGCUAUUGUUCCUUGGGUGACUUCUGGGGCAAAAUAAAAAUAAUUUAACACACACCUGUAACUGAUUUCUCAUUUUCCCUGUGU